rnacentral:lncRNA from 1 species
CACUUCAGGGCCGGUUCUGGCCGGUCCAAGCUGGUUCCGGUCAGCUCAGAGCCAGUUCUAGCCAGUGUGAGUUAGUAUCAGUCAGCUCAGAGCCGGUUUUGGCGGGUCCAGGCCAGUUCCGGUCAGCUCAGGACCGGUUCUGGCCAGUCCAAAUUGAUACCGGUCACCUCAGGACCGGUUCUGGCUGAUCCACGCCAGUUCCAAUCAGCUCAAGAACGGUUCUGGCUGGUCCAAGCCAGUUCUGGCCGCCUCAGAACCAGUGCUGGAUGGUCCAAGCUGGUUCCAGUCAGUUCUGAGCUGAUUCCAGCCAGUCCAGCUUGAUUCCAGUUGCCUCAGAUGGUUCUGGUCACCUCCGAGCUGAUUCCAGCCAGUUCAAGUCAGUUCCAGUUACCUCAGGCCCAGUUCUGGCCAGUCCAAGCCGGUUCCUGUCACCUCAGGGCCGGUUCUGGGCAGUGUAAACUGGUUCCAGUCACUUCUGACCAAAUUCCAACCAGUCCAAGUCGGUUCCACUGGUCUCAGAACCAGUUCUGGCCAGUCCAAACCAGUUUUGGUCACCUCAGGGCCAGCUUUGGCCAAUCCAAGCCAGUUCUGGUCACCUCAGAGCCGGUUUUGACCAAUCCAAGGUGGUUUUAGUCACCUCAGAGCCGGUUUUGGCCAAUCCGAGCCGGUUUUAGCCACCUCGGCCACAGCCCUGGUUGCCUCAGAGCUGAUUCCGGCCAGUUCAAGCCGGUUCCGGUUGCCUCAGCCCCAGUUCUGCCCAGUCCAAGCCAGUUCCGGUCGCCCCGGCCGUGGUUCUGCUCAGCUCAGGGCCAGUUCUAGCCAGUCCUGGCCGCCUCUGCCAUGGUGCCGGUUGCCCCAGAGCCGGUUCUGGCCGGUCCAAGCCGGUACCGAUCGCCUCAGGGCAGGUUCUGGCCGGUCCAAGSCGGUUCCGGUCGCUUCAGAGCCGGCGCUGGCCGGUUCUGACCCGUCCGAGCCAGUUCUGGUCGCCUCAGCCACCGACCCAGGUGCCUCAAGGCCAGUCCCGGCCGCCCCAGCCGUGGUCCCAGUCACCUGAGGGCCGGUUCUGGCCGGUCCGAGCCGGUUC